GGAUGUGAGGGUGAUCUGGCUGUGACAUCUGUCACCCCAUUGAUCACCAGGGUUGAUUCGGCUGAUCUGGCUGGCUAGGUGAGAGUCCCCUUCCUCUCUCACUCCUCCAUGUGCAUCCCUCCCGAAGCUGUGCCCUUGGUGGAUGAGGACAACCAUCCCAGAUUGUAGGAGAACGUAGGGGCUCCUUCCAAUUCUGUGAUUCUGUGACACGUGAACUGAAAAACUACAAGUUCCAUAACAUGGAAGGUGCCAUAAAGGUUUUGAUGUGCAAGUGAACAUUGCUU